CGGACAUUGCAGGGUUGGGCUUGAUGACAUUUGUUGCUCAGCUGCCGCGACACAUUUGGAGCAAAGGAGGAUUUGCUUCUAACUGCGGCAGUGACGUUGUGUAUUGUCCUCAGGAACGCUUGCGGUGUGCACAUUUGUCUAAUUUGUUUCACUGUGCUGCUGCUGUCUUUACAGCUUCUGCUUAUUUCCUUUGGCCGCACCUUAUAUUUGUUGUCUUUGUCAACAUCUGACCUGUUUCUGCCUUGUUGAAAGCAAGUGGCCACAAGUACUGCUUAGUUUGCUCAGUCUAAACCUGGCCACUUCACAACUGCAAGCUGAAUCUGAUGUAGGCAGUGUCAGGGUCAUGGCCCAUAUUUUAGUGAACGCCAAGAAUGCGUCCUGUGACUGAAGUUUGAGCAUUUGAGCCCACCUUUUGGAAGUGCUUUUUAUGUGCACUCAGUAAGUGACAGUUAUCCAUGCUUCUUGACAUGAUUUUAAGUGAUCCUAGAGGCAACACUUAUUGAUCUGCAUUAUGCAAAUGUUUUUAUAUUUUCACUAAUAUACUGUGGUCACUAUUACUACGCACUGUUUAAAAGGUGUUGAAUAUAAAAAGCUACUUAUUUGCCCUAAUAUAAUGUAGAAAUCACGUGGAAAUAAUGUAGGAUCACGUGGAGCAGAGGUAGAAUACCCGGCUUCAAAUCUGAAGGUCGUAAGUUCGAAUC